rnacentral:rRNA from 1 species
AUGGUGGGCACUCUAAGGAGACUGCCGGUGACAAACCGGAGGAAGGUGGGGAUGACGUCAAGUCAUCAUGGCCCUUACGGCCUGGGCUACACACGUGCUACAAUGGUCGGUACAGAGGGUUGCCAAGCCGCGAGGUGGAGCUAAUCCCAUAAAACCGAUCGUAGUCCGGAUCGCAGUCUGCAACUCGACUGCGUGAAGUCGGAAUCGCUAGUAAUCGCGAAUCAGAAUGUCGCGGUGAAUACGUUCCCGGGCCUUGUACACACCGCCCGUCACACCAUGGGAGUGGGUUGCACCAGAAGUAGCUAGUCUAACCUUCGGGAGGACGGUUACCACGGUGUGAUUCAUGACUGGGGUGAAGUCGUAACAAGGUAGCCGUAGGGGAACCUGCGGCUGGAUCACCUCCUUA